rnacentral:rRNA from 1 species
AUGUACGUCUUGGAGAGAUAUUUCCUAUCAUUCGAGAUCCAUCCAUUAGACCUAUUUGAAGAGGCUUCCAUUACUAACAUGUUUACUUCAAUUGUCGGUAAGGUAUUUGGUUUAAAAACCCUACGUGUGUUAUACAUCUAG